rnacentral:piRNA from 1 species
UGGUUAUAUCUGUUUGGGCUUCCAAACACCU